rnacentral:rRNA from 1 species
UACGUAGGGACCAAGCGUUGUUCGGAUUUACUGGGUUUAAAGGGUGCGUAGGCGGCCAAGUAAGUCAGGAGUGAAAGUUUGCGGCUCAACCGUAAAAUUGCUUUUGAUACUGCUAGGCUGGAAUUAGGAUGAGGUCAGCGGAAUGUGGCAUAUAGCGGUGAAAUGCAUAGAUAUGCCAUAGAACACCAAUUGCGAAGGCAGCUGGCUAGACCUGGAUUGACGCUGAGGCACGAAAGCGUGGGGAGCGAACAGG